rnacentral:lncRNA from 1 species
GCUUUGGAUCUCUUUAGGAGUCCGGAAUGCAACAUUAUUAGGCUGUUCUAAAUUUACUUCUGCAUUCUCAGAAUUAUUUCUAAGUUCUGUUGAAGAAGCUGUUUUAUCUGCUUUCUUCUGGAAAGUUAGGAUGAUUAUAAUCCUGCAUUAGGUUUUCAUGGAGGUGGAGGUUGAAAUUCAGGAGGAGUUGGGGGAAGGGAGGACAAAGAGAAUCCUCCUAAGGUUUAAAGGAUACUACAUAUUGCUAGUUCUCUUCCUAUUUUCUGACCACUAUAAGUUCUCCUUUGGAGGAGUGUUUUUCAUUCUAAUUGUGAGUAUCUCCAUUAGACCAAGAUCUUUGAGGUUAGAGAGUCUUUUUUGUCUCUUUUGUAUAUCCUCAGUAAUUAACACAGUCUCUG